rnacentral:rRNA from 1 species
UAAGUUGAUAACCGAAGCUGCGGAUUCAUACUUUUAGUGUGAGUGGUAGGGGAGCGUUCUGUAAGCCUGCGAAGGUGGAUCGUAAGAUCUGCUGGAGGUAUCAGAAGUGCGAAUGCUGACAUGAGUAACGAUAAAGCGGGUGAAAAGCCCGCUCGCCGCAAACCCAAGGUUUCCUGCUCUACGUUAAUCGGAGCAGGGUGAGUCGGUUCCUAAGGCCAGGCUGAGAAGCGUAGCUGAUGGAAAUCAGGUUAAUAUUCCUGAACCGGCGUUGAAUGCGAUGGGGUGACGGAGCAGCCAGAGUGGACCGGGUGUUGGAUGUCCCGGCUUCCGAGCGAUGGGUGCCUGCAGGCAAAUCCGCAGGCGUAUACCCAGGACGAAGGAUCGGGUCUUCUUUUGAAGACGAAGCCACUGGAAGCGCUUCCAGGAAAAACCUCUAAGCUUCAGUUCAACGGCGACCGUACCGUAAACCGACACAGGUGGGUGAGCUGAAUAUGCUCAGGCGCUUGAGAGAACUCGGGAGAAGGAACUCGGCAAAUUGACACCGUAACUUCGGAAGAAGGUGUGCCUUUGUAGCUUGAUGGGAGAGAAACCCAAAGGGCGAAGAGGUCUCAGAGAAUCGGUGGCUGUAACUGUUUACUAAAAACACAGCGCUCUGCAAAGAUGAAAGUCGACGUAUAGGGCGUGAUGCCUGCCCGGUGCUGGAAGAUUAAUUGAUGGGGUGCAAGCUCCUGAUCGAAGUCCCAGUAAACGGCGGCCGUAACUAUAACGGUCCUAAGGUAGCGAAAUUCCUUGUCGGGCAAGUUCCGACCUGCACGAAUGGCAUAAUAAUGGCCACACUGUCUCCUCCCGAGACUCAGUGAAAUUGAAAUGUUUGUGAUGAUGCAAUCUCCCCGCGGCUAGACGGAAAGACCCCAUGAACCUUAACUGUAGCUUUGCAUUGGACUUUGAACCGAUCUGUGUAGGAUAGGCGGGAGGCUUUGAAGAAUGGACGCCAGUUCAUUCGGAGCCGUCGUUGAAAUACCGCCCUGAUUUGUUUGAGGUUCUAACCUGGGCCAGUAAUCCUGGCUGGGGACCGUGCAUGGUGGGCAGUUUGACUGGGGCGGUCUCCUCCUAAAGGGUAACGGAGGAGUGCGAAGGUACGCUAAUCACGGUCGGAAAUCGUGAGGAUACUGCAAUGGGAAAAGCGUGCCUGACUGCGAGACAGACAAGUCGAGCAGAUGCGAAAGCAGGUCAUAGUGAUCCGGUGGCUUCUGCAUGGAAGGGCCAUCGCUCAACGGAUAAAAGGUACUCUGGGGAUAACAGGCUGAUACCGCCCAAGAGUUCAUAUCGACGGCGGUGUUUGGCACCUCGAUGUCGGCUCAUCUCAUCCUGGGGCUGUAGCCGGUCCCAAGGGUAUGGCUGUUCGCCAUUUAAAGAGGUACGUGAGCUGGGUUUAAAACGUCGUGAGACAGUUUGGUCCCUAUCUACCGCGGGCGCUGGAAGAUUGACAGGGGCUGCUCCUAGUACGAGAGGACCGGAGUGGACGCACCUCUGGUGUAUCGGUUGUGACGCCAGUCGCAUUGCCGAGUAGCUAUGUGCGGAAGAGAUAACCGCUGAAAGCAUCUAAGCGGGAAACUUGCCUGAAGAUUAGUCUUCCCG